rnacentral:rRNA from 1 species
AUGAACGCUGGCGGCGUGGAUUAGGCAUGCAAGUCGAACGCGAAAGUGGGGGUAACUCCGCGAGUAGAGUGGCGAAAGGGUGAGUAAUGCUUGGAUGACCUGCCUUCGAGACGGGGACAACAGUUCGAAAGGACUGCUAAUACCCGAUGGCCCCAUCCGGAUGCGUCCGGAUGGGUAAAUGGUUGAUUCCGCUCGAUGAGGGGUCCAAGUCCUAUCAGCUAGUUGGUGAGGUGACGGCUCACCAAGGCGAUGACGGGUAGCCGGACUGAGAGGUCGACCGGCCACAUGGGAACUGAGACACUGUCCUGACUCCUACGGGAGGCUGCAGUCGAGAAUCUUCUGCAAUGGGCGCAAGCCUGACAGAGCGACGCCGCGUGGAGGACGAAGGCCCUCGGGUUGUAAACUCCUGUCACAUGUUAUGAACCGCAUGGGUUACACCCAUGUCUGACAAAAGCAUGAGAGGAAGUCACGGCUAACUUCGU